CACUGCUGGGGGGAGAAUAACACACACUGUCACUCUUAAGGCACAGAAGGAAAUCUACUGCACAGAGCGAAGGAAAGGGAAGAGAGCCAUCUACUCCCGAGGGUGCGGCUGGAGUACCUGCUGGACCAGGACCACCUCUUGGAGGGGACAGAAGCACGGAGACCAGGGGCGUAGCCCUGUCAGAGACCUUCUAAUGAGAACGACAGAGAAUGCCUUGCCGCCGCCCAACCUUCCUAUGAUCAGUCUAACAAGCAGCAAGUGAUAGCAGUCGAAUAUUGCUGAGAGACUUCAAAAAGUGUGGAAAGAGACUCUCCCAAAGGAAAACCCAAAGAGAAGAUGGAAACCUGAGGGUGGAAAAGAAAUUAAGAAAAGCCCUCUGACAAGCCGACCCCUACCCUCAACACACGGCAACGCCAGAGGAAUUUUAAAUCUGCAGGGUCUGUGGCUAACCACAGUGACGACAAACCCCAAACUGAGUUCACCAAAAGCCUAGCAGAAGGAAAGGUGUACUCAUUUCCAGGGAAGAAAUUCUUCUGGGAAGCUCUCCAUAAGGCUAAAACACUUGCGCUGUUCAAAGACUUUUUUUUUUUCAAUUUGGAACCUGAAAAGAGGCACACAGUCUAAAGAGAUCAAAACAGAGCCCAGGAGUGAAGUAAGG
ensembl:lncRNA